UCUGCAGUAUCCUUUCCAAUUGCGCAUGGCAGGAAACAGAUACAAGACAAUUUGCUCUUUCACUGAUAAGAAAGGGGGAAAGAUCAAUAUGGUGUUCUAAUAAAGAACUUCAAAUCGGAAGACUUGCCAUUUUCUGAAGUUAUAGGAGCACCUUGUCAACAGCUAGUUCUAUUGGCUAAAAAAAAGGUAACAAUCAAGGUUGGUGGACUUCAACACAUGUGACAAACAAAUUUAUUUGAAGACAAACUACAAGAAGAAAAAAACAAAACAAAAAAAAGCAUCAAUGCUAUUCCUAACAUUACUUUGUAACACGUCUCACUACCUGGGACAGAGCCCUUCCCAAGUAAUAAAAUAGUUACAAACUGGGGAACCUUAGACUUUUCUUUUGAAACACUCCCUUACUUUUUCUCAUUACUUAUUGGUCUCUCUCUCUCUCUCUCUCUCUCUCUCUCUCUCUCUGUGUGUGCAAAGAACCAUGUCAUGGGACUCAGAAUCAAUCUCGAAUCAUUUGGAAUAAUAUCUUUGCUGGUAAAACUGCACAUAUUAAUGCUCUCUAGACCCCACAUUGAUUGGCAUAGUAUUUUUAAUAGGUGUCAGAGCGCUCGCCUAGGAGCGAGGUGAGGUAAGGCUUGAGUGCCUCACACAACCUCUAGGCGAGGCACUUCGAUGAAGCACCACUUGGGUGCCUUGGGCAAGCGCUCAAGUUAAGAGGCAAGUUGGUACUAGGUGGGGUUAAUGCUUGGUUCAAUUGAACAAGCAAGUUGGUUCAAUCAAACCAACUAAAGUGCCCUAACCCCCCCACCCCAAUUGUCCGAUGCAGCUUCGAAACCCUACAUUCGCUACCGCAACUCCCUCCAUUGCCAUCGCCUUCGUUCGAAGCUUCCUUCGCCAUCGUCACCUUCAUUCGCAACUUCCUCCGUCGUUGCCGACUUCAUCUGCAACUUCACCGCCUUCGUUCAUAUCUUCCUCCGCUGCCGCUGCCUUCGUCUACUGCUUCCUCCGUCGCCACCACCUUCAUCCUUUGCUUCCUCGACUGCCCUCUCCCCCAACUUCCUGCAUAGCUGUUGAAUACUCCUCCUUCCUCCAUAUAUAUAUAUAUUUAUUUAUUUAUUUAUUUAUUUUGUAAUGCCUCACUUUGCUUGGGCAAGUGCCUAGUGCCUCAGGCGUUAUGAGAUCUUGGUGCCUUGCACUUUUAAAAUCACCAGGUUGGCACCUAUUACAUUAAGCCAUCCUUUUUAAAUCAACUUUGCUAAUUACAAUGUCACUAGAGAUUUCGAAUCCAUUAAAGAAAUAUGUUGAAAUCCUUGUCAUGGUUGAAUUUGUAAUAUCAUGUUAAAAAUCUAGUAUUGAACCCCCACAAUAGGUUAUGCCACCCAAGAUACGAUAUUGAUUUGAGGGGUCACAUCCAUGAAUUCUAGUAGUAUCAUUCAAAAAUAAUUUCUCAUAAAUGAGCAACACAAUAAAGAAUAACGUAAACAAAAUGACAAAGCUUAACAAAAGAAUUUUUGCAUUAAGAUUAUUGGCUAAAGAUGAGAUGUAAAUAGCAUUAGGUUAGAAAAUGGAAUUCACAAAUCAAGGGUCACUUUAAGGAGAUGAAACUACUAUGAAAACAAUGGACAUCAAAUUCCUUGUUUUCCUCUGGCACCCUGAGAAUAUAUUGCAUAACCAUUGCAUUAGGUUUUGCCAAAGAGUGCUAGCUAGGCAUGUGAAAUAGUUUCUAAAGAUAGUUCAUAGGUUCACCAAAAUGGUGCAUUUGAAAGAUUCUUUAUGUACGUAAUGUAGCAGAUUUGUUUCCCUAGCAUGCCUAGGCCACUUAAGUAGGGACAUAAGUUUUUGAGUCAUUCUUGGAGAAUCUAAGGGUACUAAAUGGUGAAAACUAGGAUUCAAUAGAGAAACAGGCCACUGUGCAUGUUGCUAUUUCUUAUCUAUUGGCAUGGUCAUCCCAAUUUUAGAAUGCAAGUUGAUCAGUGAGAACAACAUAGAGGAAAAUCAGCACAGAUCAACACAUAUCAUGCCAGAUAAUUAUUAGAACAUGACAUCCUAAUUGUACUGCAGGUACUAGCACAUGGCCGGACCAAUUUUUAUUAUGUGUUGAAUGAUACAUGAGCAUGCCAACUGACAAAAGCAUGUAAUUGUACUAUACCAAGAAGGUACUAGCACACCUUGCGCCAACAAAUGUCAAUCCUCGAGUAUGCCUUUGCUCUAAGGCUUUUUCUUGUAGAGAUGUAUGAAAACCAUCUUAAAGAGGGUGGGUUUGCCAAACACAACAGAAUUGAAAUGGAUAUUUAGUUGAGUUUGCUCCAAGACUGUCCGCAUGAGAUUUAACUUAAUUGUAUUCUAAGAUUUAAUCUUAGCUAGCUGAAUGUUAGAUAAGAUAUCUGAUGCGUGUUCUAGCUUCUUGCUAUUUUUGUCUCAAUUUGCAUGUUAUAAAAUUUCUUCUUGUGUGCUGUCCAUUUCAAAAUGAUCACAUCACUUACCUGGUCAGAAAAUAAAAAUUCCAGGAUUUUCUAUCCGAAAAGACUGAUGGGCAUCCAACUCAUGAAUCCUGAGGACUUCAUAACUUGCAAACUAAUACAUACUUGGCAAAGGAUGAAAAUGCACAAUGAAAAUCCCAGGAACUUCUAUCCAAAAAGACUGAUGGGCAUCCAACUCAUGAAUCCUGAGGAAUUGAUAACUUGCAGACUAAUAUAGACUUGGAAAAGGAUGAAAAUGCACAAUUCAACUUAACAUUAGAAUCUAAGAUACAAUGAGGAACAAACAUCAAAUACAAUCCUUAAUAAGACAAAAAGCAAUCCUAAAACAAUUUAGGGCAGCCACCUAUGUUGAACUAUCACAUAUUGUAUUAAUUGACAAUUAGAUACUGUUAUAUAAUUGUAACAAAACCAUUUAAUACUUAAAUACAUACCUUAGCAAAUUCCAAUAGCUGAGACCAGGUGUCUCUCGAUAUUGCUUUGUUAUGCCUCACCUGAUAAUGACAAAAUGGAUUAGACAUCACCUGUUGCACAGAAUAUUAGAGGCACAAGCCACGAACUAGACCUAAGUAAUCAACUUCAUUAAGGUGCUGCAAAAGCAUGAAAAAGCAAACAACAAACUAAAUCCAUGUAUCCCUCGGAGGGAAUGAAACAUCUAUCAUGCCAUAAUUGCAUAAGUGUUCUCUAAUGUUAAGAAAAUUCAUCCAAGAAUGAAAUGAAACCUGGUGAAAUGGUAGCUGAAAAAACCUACCUGUAAGAACUGGCACCAAUGGUCAACUAAAGGCCAGUGCCUUUCUGCAAACAACAACUGCCACAUGCCAAUAGCUGUAUCAAGUGCUAGAGAUUUUUGACCCUGCGAUGAUUGGAAAGAAAGCCACUUUCAAUAUUAUCUUUAAAAAUCUCAAAAAUAAAUAAAUUAUACCUUUGAGCAUGAGGUAGGGAAGUAACUCAUGUUUGUAUUAUUUAAUAACAGGCGUUCCACAUGAAGUAUGAACAGGAGGAAAGAAUAAAAUGAACUGCAAAUCCAAGCAUAAACAUAGUGUACUCAUGUGUUGUUGCUUGGGAAUGGGCAACAACUUGGAUACAACAACCAAAAUUCAAGGUCAAUGUGAGCCUAAAGGUCUUGCAGCUAUGAUCAACCUCAACAUUGCAAAGGAUAAUGCAUGAGACAUUGACCCAAGAGAUACAGAGUUUUGAAAGCUCAAAGACAUCACAGUACCUGCCACCAUCCAAAAAACACCACUUUGCUGGGCACACAUCACCAAGCUUAAUGGCUAUGAUAUCAUCGUAUCAUAACCUGAGUCGGAGCCUGAGUUGGAAGCACAUGAGCUUGUCACCAACACCUAUGUGAUGUCAUUUGGAGAUAGAUAAUGCCCAAGCUAUAUCUCAUAGUUGAUGCAUAAACAGCGGUCACAAAAUCCCACCAUGAUAUCCAUGAAGUAUCAGUAGGCAGGAAAUAGAAUUUGAAGGCCCGUGAAUUCACCAAGAAAUCUACAUCCAUCCCAAACCAUAACCAGUGAUUUAAAAAGCGCUAGGCGCCAAAAGGCGGCAAGAUCCAAAAACACCCGAGGCGCUAGGCGCUCGCCUAAGCGCUCGCCCGAGCGAAGCGAGGCGCUAAAAUAUAAAAAUAUAUAAUAUAAUUAAUAUAAUUAUUUAAAUAAAAAAUAUGCUAUUAAAUUAAGAAAAUCGAGUACAAAAUCACAAUAUCAUAUUAAUAAAAAGUCUCAAAAAUUAAAACAAUAAAAUUUUACAUCAAAUCUAUUGAGUUACUCUGUACGCUUGCCAUUUAUUCUGAAACCUAACAAUAAUUUUAAAUAAAUAAAAAUUAAUAGUAUUAAAAUCAAAAUAAUAUAUUAUUAAUAUAAUAAAUAAAAAAUACUAUUAUUAGUAUACAGUUAACAGUAUACUGUUAAUAUACUGUUAACAGUAUAGUGAGAAGAGUGUGAGAAGACUGGGAGCGGGAGCGGGAGCGACGAGCGAUAGCGGGAGUGGGAGCGGGAGCUGCGAGCGGCAGUGGGAGUGGGAGCGGGAGCUGCGAGCGACGAGCGACGACAACAGCGAUGAGUGACAAUUGUGGCAGCGGCGAGUAGCGACAAUGGCAGCAACAGCGGCAGCAGAGAGCAGCGACAACGGAGAAGAAAUCUCGACGGCAAAAUCGCAAGUGUUAAGGUUGGGGAAGUCGGGGAAAUCGUGAGAGGGAGCCUAUCGGUGAUUUAGUUGGUUCGAUUGAACCAACUAAAGCACCGGAGACCGAACCAGACGUAAAACACUGGUUCGGUCGCCUGGUUUAACCCGGGCACUCGCCCGAAGCGCCCGACGCCUAGGCUCGGGCGAGCGCCUAGGCGGCGCCUCGUUGAAGCGAGGCGCUUGGACAUGAAGCGAGGCGCUCGGGCCUCGCCUCGCCCGAGCGCCUAGGCGAGCGCCCGAGCGCCUAUUGAAAUCACUGACCAUAACCUAGUCAAACCAAAGUGUGUAAAAGGAUUGCAUAGAUUAUGAUCUUAAUGCCAUAUUGGCUAAUGGAUUUGUACCAUUUUAUAUGGACAACCAUGUGGACUUUGACACUGAAAGUACUCAAGUGUUACUAUUUGGGACAGCAAUGAGUUUAAAACUAUAUCAGUGCAUGCUUCAAGAUAUUGUAGAUGUAGGUCUCACACAGAUACCCAUGUCAAUAGAAAUGAAGUACAUGUUGCACAUAUCAUACCAAAAAAAUGGUAGAAUAAUGCCCACAUCAUGUUGACAUGAUACAAUAGUUACUGCCCAACAUCCCUAAUCUGUGAAUGUCAUAAAAAGGCAUGUCAAAAUUAUUGCUCCAUAAAAUAACUUCAGUAGCCUCAACACUCAACCAGUUUACAUUGGAAUUUGGCAUUGGACUUCUUUGAUCCCAGAAAAGGAAAAGGGAGGAGUCUCUUGAUUCAAAUUAAGGGACCCAAGAAGAGAAGGGAGCGGGUGAUCCACUGAAGGAUCAGUAUGGCAUGUCUGAUCUUAUCAACCCUAGCUAUGAUCCAAAGGAGAGUUAUCUAGCAAAGCUGGCAGAUUAUCUAUCAGGUGCAACAAGGUAAACCAUGGUGGAAUGCAAUCUCAAGACAGAUUGCUUGAUUUCUUCACAUGAAAGGAACAUAAGAAAAAAGAAGAGGGAAGAGAAAAAAAAAAGAAUAUGACUAGAAUGAACAAAAAUAGAAAGAGAAAACAAAAGAAAGAUAAUGAAAUAAAUAAUUUAGAAUUAUUCUAUAAAAUUAUCAAUUAUGUAAGAUAAACAAACAUAUAUAUAAGUUGUAAAAUUACAUAAAAAUGGUAGUACUUUAGGUGUUUAACCAAGAAAAUUGAAAACUGAACUUUCCAAAAUAGAUACACAAACUUCAAAUGAAAAAAAACAAAAGUCUGAUAAUUAUAGGUAAAACCAGAGAUGAGCAGUGAAACUUAAUAUUAAAUACACUGAAUAUUAAUUAAUGGUGAAUUUGAUGGGAUGUUAAAUAAAUCAAAUUCAGUAACAAAGUGUACUAAAUUUGAUGGGAUGUGAAAUAAUUAGUAUGUGGUACGAGGUGAGGUAGAGUUAGUGGCGUGAGGUGAGAUAGAAGAAGACCUUAAAAUAUUUUAAUUGAGACUAAAAAUAAAAAUUUUAAUAUUCUUAAUUUAACUAACCCGAAGAUGUUUUACGUGCCUCCAUGGUAGCAAAAAAUAUCGAUAUGGUCGGCCCCAAAUACUUGAGACUUGUAGCUUUAUUAUUAUAGUUAUUUUUCAGCAUUUUUAAAUUCGAUUGCCAUAUGACUAAAUUCAUCUUUCCUUUAGAUGUCACAAAAUUCCCUUUCAAACUUGUGGACACAUGAAAACAACCAAGUCGACCAGACUCAAGGACGUUGAAGAAACUAUCUUUGAGAAAAUAAUGAAUCUUAAAAUGCCUUUCUCAAUACUGACAGUGAUUACAGCAUCUAUCAAUAUUUUUAAUUUUGAGUACCAGACCUAUACUGGUCCUAACCUAGACUGGUAUGGGUCCGAGCCGUACCAGCACAUUGCGUCGGUAAGUCAGAAUGUACUGAAUUUUGAAAAAACCUAAAAAAAGGUUGAACGAUAGAAAAGUUACCAGUACAGGACUUGUACCACAUGGUACAGGCCUUAUACCAGACGUACCAGGUGGCUCAAGCCCUAUAUCGGAAGCCUAGUACACGUGCCCAUAGUGUUGAACUGAUAAGCACCACCAGUACCAAACUAUAAGGAUGGUAUUACAAAGUACAAACCUUGGCAUACAUCCAAUCCACAGAGAGAAAGAGAGAGAGAGAGUACUAAAAGGGUCACCUAGUUCGCAGAGCUCCCGCCAAUGAAGCUCUAAGAAUGGUGAAUAAACGCAACCUUACCACAACAAGCAAAAUGUUAUGACCCUUUUUUAUCAAACACCAUGGAUGACUUUAUUUGUCGUAUAGCACAUAAUUUGUAAGAUUUUUUGGACACUCCCAUUAGAGCAUAACAUGAAAAUGAUUAUACAUACUUGUGCUUCCAUAAUAUUAUGAAAUAUCAAGUAAUUAAUGAAUUAACAUUUUGUAAAACAUAGCAUUUUGACUGCCUACUUAAAUAAAAUGAAAGAGAUGCUCACUAAACAAAAAUUGGUUGGGUACCUUUUCUUUAGCCCAGCCAAAAGCGAAAUUGUAUAUUUCACGAAAUUUUUCUGGAGGCAUGAAACACAAAAUUUAUUAGAAAAGCUUGAAGAAACGAACAUAAGGCAUGUGUUUCAGUUUUGUUUAUAACAGUGUAUAAAACUUCAAAAUAACUUGAAUAAACAUAUGCCAAGUAGCUUCCAAAAUAGAGAAUGGGACAGAUAACACUCACGUUCAUCUUUUAGCUCACUUCGCAUAUAUGAUAACUUAUCACGAAACUUCUCAAUUGUAUCUAUCCUGCAUCAAAACAUUUUACUUUCAACACAAACAAAUUGUAUCUUCAUAUGUCAAAACUCCUCCAACCUACUCAGAAGAUGAAAGAAUAAGCAACUCAGUGAGGCCAAAUAUUACCCAAGAUAUUGUAAUCCACCAAUGAAUUCCUGCCGAGAGAACUCACACAUUGUAGCAGCCUUCAUGUGCCAAGAUACAACUAACUGUCGUAAAAGAAACCAAAAGCACACAGCACCUUAUAAUUAGUGUACUGUAAGUGCUUCAGUAAAUCACCAAAGCAAACACAAUGUAAAGUAGAAACUUAGCUGAUCAGAAAAUAGCAGUAGUCUUUAAAUUAUUUAACCACAGUAAACAAAUAAGAAAGCAGCAAGAUAGGAGAAAGUAAGAUAAUGGAAUAAGAAAGAAGAAAAGACCAGAUACACAGAAGUAGGAUUGCAAAAAAACAGAGAAUUCCAGUCCAAAAUCCAAUAAUCCAUUAUGAUCUUGUGAGUCAUUUGAAUCACUAUUCUUCAUCCCACUAAGAAUUCUGAAAAAUACUGGCGUAGCACCAGGAUUCAGAUUUUCCCAUAAUGCCCUUCAGCACUUUAUUGAACAUUCAUUUAUCUCAGAAUAGGAGCCCUAAAUAACAUAAAAUUUCAAGUCAUGCUUGAGCACAAUGAUUGUGUAAGAUCCCAUCAAAUGCUAUGUUUCUCUCUUCUGUUCUGUACCAUAUUUGUUCAACGCAUGAAUCUUGCCUGAAGGUGUCAGGGUGCCUAACCUUGUUAGCCAAGGAAUGUCAUUUCAGGUACUGGACCUGUCUCAGUCCCCUGGGUCAGUCCAGUAUCCAUCAGUCGGGGCCAAUGUACCAACACAUUUCGAGGAGGAAGAAGAAGAAGAGAAAGGAACAUAUGGCGGUGGAGGAAGAGCAAGACGAAGAGGAGGAAGGAGAAGAAAGAAGAAAAAGGAAGAAUAGGAGGCAGUGGAGGAAGGAGGAGGAGAAGAAAAGGAAGCUCCUCAUUUUUUAUCUGAUCCCAAGUUUGAUUGUGGAACUCUUAUAAGUAUGGCAUAAAACAAGAAAAUUGAAUGUUAGUGAUGUAUGACACAUGACAGAAAGGGGUAAAAGGAUAUUAUAGGAUUUAAUUCGGUUCAUGGUCAAUUUUCAAGGUCGCUGAAAUCUUUAAAUCAUAUUUGAUUUUUAUGAAAGGACAAAUAUAAACUAGGACUAGUAUAAAGGAAGAAGAAAUUUUAGAUGAUCCAUAUACAUACUCACUUUGACUUUGAGAAUCACUCAUAGGAUUAAAAACAAUGGUAACACACCAUUAUGAAGAAAUUUCUUCUAUUGAUCUAAACUCCAAUUGCUUCACCACUUCAUUUGCUUAUAACCUUUUACCCUUCAAAUAGAUCCUCAAUUACAAGCAGAAAAAAGAAAAACAAAAGAACUAAAAAAAGAGUUCACUUAAGAAGAUACUAUUCCAUGAGCCAAGGCUAAUCGAUCACCCACAUUUCAUUCUCAGAAGAACUAUUUUCAAAUUUGUUCAAAAUUCCUUUUUAUACAUAUUCUUUAUUGCUAUUAAUUUCCUUCUUUGGAUAGAAUCUUCAAUUGAGAUCAUUAUUCCUUUUCUUCCAUUUUCAUUUGGCUACUCUUUCUUCCCUUGAACAAUCGUAUAAUUGAAAAUACAUAUGAUGUUGCCAUGUAACAAAUUUUGACAUUUGAAAAAAAAAUAAAACAAAAUUAAAAUUAAUAUAAAACAAAAAUGGUUCCUACACCAAAUAGUUCAUGCUGUAUGGUAAUGAAACACCUCAUGUUUUAAUUAAAAAUACCUCUUUCCUUGCAGACUAAGCAAGCAUAAGAGGAAUGCCGGAGAAGCAACAAAUUAUUCAAACAACUCAUUUUGGACCUUUCCUUUUACAAAUAUCAAGCAUUGAAUGUAAGUUCUUCAUAAGGUAAAAGAUUUAUUACAGUUUCAUGUCAAUCAUUUCAAGUUGUAGCAUGGGACUUGGACUUGCAUUGUCACUCUAGGCCCCUAGAGACUCAAGUCAUGAAACUCUUAUUUUUCACUGGCAAAGAUGUUAAUUAUCCCAAUGGAGCUUUUUGUUGUGCUAAAGUUGUUCAACAUCAUGAAUCUGGAGUCAACAUAAUGAAGGCAUGAAAACUUUGAUUAUCUGAAACCAUGUUGACAGAGCCUCCAAUUAUGAGACAAAUUUAAAAGUAAAUGAAGUAGAGGAAAAUAGAAGAAAGAUAUAAAAAGAUAGAAUAAAUGAGAAAUGAGAAUUGGAGAAAACAAAAAAAUCCAGCAUGUCAUAAAUCAUCAUUAUUAACUCAUAAUUUAUCGGUCAUGAUUUCUCUUAAGACUCAUUGUAGACAAGUAUCCUAGUCUUAGAAUAAUUCCCAACAAAUCUAAAUGACCCUAAAACUUUACAAGAAUAUCUGGAACUUCAAAUCACUUCAAGAUACCAUAAAACUCUAUUUUAAUGUUUACAAUCCAGAUGCAGGACAUCAAAGUUUUGACUGGAUCAGGUGAUACAAACACUACCAUAGCUACUUGAACAAUGACAAGAUGGAACCUAAUGAAAAGGGAAGAGAUAAUAUAAAGACCCAUAGGCACUCUAUAAACUUAGUGAAGAGACUGAAUUGAACAAGAACUUAAUAUGACUCAAACGAAACAUGUUCAACACAAGACAAGGUCACAUAUCUACCAUGAAGAACCAAAAUUGAUUAUAUUGCACCAUAAACUACUUCUUCCUUAUUAUAGUGCAAUACAGAAGAAAGUUCGCCAAAUAAAAGUUCUGCCUGCAACUGAAGAGUCUUUGACUGGUGCAGUUAGCAGCUAUCAAAUGACAGACAUAAAGUAUCUAAAAGUUCCUUAGACUAUAAACUUAAUGAAGAGACUGAAUUGAACAAGAACUUAAUAUGACUCAAACGAAACAUGUUCAACACAAGACAAGGUCACAUAUCUACCAUGAAGAACCAAAAUUGAUUAUAUUGCACCAUAAACUACUUCUUCCUUAUUAUAGUGCAAUACAGAAGAAAGUUCACCAAAUAAAAGUUCUGCCUGCAACUGAAGAGCCUUUGACUGGUGCAGUCAGCAGCUAUCAAAUGACAUACAUAAAGUAUCUAAAAGUUCCUUAGACCAAGAUUUGACAAAAGGCAACUUUUGGCUAGAUAAAGCCAUCUACUUGCAAACAUUAACAAGCCAAGCUUGACUAACAGAUUCUAUUAGGCACAGAUCAACUUGUUUAUGGCAUAAACAGAGCUGUUCACAAACAGAUCAAUUUCAAAAACCUUCCACCAUACUAAGUGCUAAAAUCAACAGUCUUUUUAACAACCAUGCUAUGACAGAAAAAAUAACAAGAAGGUAUGCCCACUUUAUCAAUUAUGCUAGCCUAGAGCAUAGAACCACAAAUGAUCCAAUAAAGUGAGAAUAUUAUCAGGAUGAACAUUCAUGAGUACCUUACAAUGUCAAAGAACAACAUAUAGUGAUAACAGUUCACCAAAAGCAUCUUUACCAAUAGAUGCUGCUACAUUAAGGCCCAAACUCAUGCUGAUAUAAUCAUGCCUACAUAGUUCAGAAUGGCACUGUACCAUGGAGUCCAAUAGAAGCAUGGCAUAUUAUAAUUUAAAAUGAAGAGGAUAACAUGCCGUACACAGAACUAUAAUCACACUCAUAAAACUCAAUUUUGUCUCGACCAAUUCAUACCGGCCCAUAUAUACAGGUCUCAGCAUGAACCAGGAAACAUACCAGCCCUUUUUUGGGCAAUUGAAUCCCUUUUUUUGGCAUGACCUGCAGCAGUGCAACUUAUGGUUUAAACAUGGCAGGCAAUCGCACGCUGCCACCUGCCUGAACUGCAGGCCCACCCACCUGCCACCUUCUAAUCCACCUUCACCUCCUAUUCUUCUCCUUUUCCUCCAUUCCUCCUCUUCCUCUCUUCCCUCCCGCUCCCCCUCCUCCCCUUUUCUUGGUACAACAGGCAGCACCAACUUACAAUAUACCAUGUGUUAAUAUGCCAACAUUGGCCAGAACAAUACUGGUCCGGUCAUAAAUUAGUAGGGAUCUGGUAACAAAACCAAAGUUACCCCACAAAAAUACCAAAAAGUAAUGCAAAGGACUUAUUCAUGUCAUAUAUGCACUCACCAUAACAAUAUCUUGAGGAUCCACCUGCAAGAACCAACAACAGGUCACUAGCUAUAAGACAAAAGAAACAACAGAACAAGAAAAUUAUACUUAAAAGAUGAAAUGAUCCUUUUGUUAUGCAAGUUAAACAAAAACAAAAAUGAACGCAAUGAAAAAUUAUAAAAAACAUAUUCCUAUUGAAAAAUUAUAACUAAACUAUUAUAUAUGAGCUAAAAGCUGACAUGUAAAUUAUGAUCAGUUUGUACAAUAGUCAACAGUUCUCCUUCAAAACUUUUUUAUUCUGCUCAAUCUGAACAAGUCCCCUUUAAAACUUAUUAAGAAAGUUGAAUAUAAUUGGUGCCCAAGGAAACAACAAUUUUUAAAAUCUUAAAACUUUGAGCUGCAUAUAUUUUCUUUAAUAAAUAACAUAGUAGUUAUAAUACAUAAACUGACUCCACUGCCAUCACUGUCAAACAUUCCAGAUUUUCCUAGCACCAUUUGUUGGCAUAACAAAACCAGUUCUGACAUAUAUAUUGGUAAUGUGCACAUAAGAGAACAAACUGUAGUGUGCCAUACGAGAAACAACUUAAACAAAUCUUACCUGCAAAUCAUUGCAAAGAAGAGUUAUACCAUCCACCAGUAUCAUAUCAACAUAAGGAUCUGCCACAAUAGAAAAUAUUUCAUUUUAUCACUCCAUGAAGCAUAAGCAUCAAUGAUGCAACAGCCAGUUGUAUUAAAUUACAUAUUUAGACAGACAACAAUAAGUGAAUGAUUUUCAUGUCAAAUUCUCAAUGAUUAUGCUGGCAAACGAUUGGUUAAAGCACAUCUACAUAAUCACUGAUUAUUCAAUUCUGAAAAAAUCUUAGAAAGAAGUUUACAUCAAUUCAGAGCAAGUAGACCAUGCAAUGAACAUAAAAAAAACAGCUCAAUGUUAUACAUUGCGAGGGCAGGAAAAAACAGGAGAGUAUUUGUGGAAAAUAAUGGACCCAUGUGCCAUUUUUGGACACCAUAAGCUCAUAUUGGGGGUCAUCUUAUGAAAUACUACCAUUGUUUCAAAAUGCAGUCUAUAUGAUCACAUAUGCAUAUGCAGUCAUAUGACUGCAUAUGCAUAUGGUAUUAUUGUAUAUGUGAAAAUUGUCUUACAUAUACGGUUUCCAUAAACAUGGAAAUGUUCUUAUGAAUAUGGUUUAUGUGCAUGUCUCAAUAACUACUAAUAUGGUCCAUAUACAUUCCCGAUACGCAUUGGAUCGGUCCAUCCUGGAAGGUAUUACAUCCAAUGAAGGAUCGACAAAAGGACCAGCUCUUGCACCACCCUCUAUGACCGACUCACCAACCCACUAGGUAUUCCUCUACUCUUGCACCACCUUCUCCACUUCUCUUUCUCCUCAUCCUUCUCCCCCACUUCUCAAUAUUGCCUCACUACCAUACCAACAUAUUGUAUGUCCGUAUGCUGAUAUGUACCAGAUUUGUGUCAGACCAACCAGCAACUUGUAUGGGUCCAAUACCAGAAAUUUUUAACCAUAGUUCAAUAAAUUUUUAACCAUACUAUAAAAGACGGUUUUUAUUUUUUUGGUUUGGACUCAACAUAUAAAUAUACCUAAUUAUGAUUUAAUAAUUCACAUUUAAAAGCACAUUUAAUACAGUACCUUGGCUGCCCUCAUUCUGCAGCCACUUUUAAUAGCAAUAAAAUUACAAUUAUACAUCUGCAUACCACACGCGAUACAAUAUCUUGAACACUGCAUUCAGCAGCAGUUUCUAGAACAGUAAAAUUACAGUUACACAACAUAAUAUACAGUACCUUCACCACUAGCAUUCUGCAGCAUGUUUUAGAACACUAAAAUUAUGGGAUUUUACCAUGUAUCAAAAAUACAAAUACCAAAUGUUUAGAGAAAAUAAAUUUUGUACAAAUUUCACAUGAAGUGAUCAUAAUACAAAAUAUCGAUAUAUCAAAAUGAAACAUGAUCAAUCAUGAUCUAUAUAGCAUCAACAAAUCAAAUAUCAAGAAGUGCCCAUUAAAGGGGUGCCAGGUAAAAAAUAGAGGUUAAAAAGUUAUCUAAAGUGGCUUUAGAUUAAACAUAGUGGUCUAGUGUAAUUUAAGUUGAGCCAGGAAAUCCAUGUUAAAUUCAUCCAGUCACUUAAAGAGCUGUUGGAUAACCCCAUUGAAGCAGUUAUAAUAGCAGCCAAAAGCCAACUAUGUCAAUCAUCAAGCGCCCAAAAGACAAUUUUCAAUUAGCUUCCUCUAUACCUUGUUGACUUACAAACCAAUCAAAAACAUAACACUUUAAAAUAGAAAAUUAAUGUACAAUAAUUUUUACAAUUAAAAAUAUUUAAUUAAAUGAAAUUAUGACCCUUUCAGGACCUGAAACACUUCUACGUGUUCUAUCUCAUGCCUAUAUUUUUUUUUGAAAAUGUUAUGAUAGAAUAUAAUCAACAUCAGCAUUUUUUUUUAAAAGAAAUUUCUACAUGCCACUAAGCGAAAUAAAAAUUAUAUGAAUCAACCAGCUGCAAAAAGAACAGAAAGAGCCUUGUAAACAGAAUGAACUUCAGAACAGUAAGAGAUGACAAUAAAUUAUCAUCUCAACAGUUUGGUAGCUUAUGUUCAAAUUUUUUUAAUCCUCAAGGCUAAAAUAAUAAAUUCAACAAUCAGAAACACUCACUUGCAUGGUCAUGCUCCAAGAAAAAUUGUGCAUUCAGGUUAUAAGAAGCUAUCACGAGCAAGAUGUGACAGUUAUGGCGACAAACAACUUAAGAUGUCUAUAAGACAGUAAAAAGGCAAGGAGACACUGCACAGAUGCUACAGAGGCAAGGUAGAUUAUAAAAUGCAUCAGUACCAACCGGUAUUGGCACCAAACCAAGAUUUUAAUCCUUGCACAAGAUAAAAGUUGGGUGCAAUAACAACAUUCCUUCCAUAAAGUGUUAUAAGUGCAACUUAAUGGCAAUAAACAGCAUGAGUCACACAAACAUCCAGCCAUUUUUUAACAAGAAACAUAGGCACAUGUUGGAAUGGACAGGGCAUAAUAAGUGCAAGAGCAUACAACAAAAAAUAAUUGCUCAAGGAAACUUGCCUUUGUAUCUGUUAUAGAGUUCUUCAAGAUGCCUGGAGUCAGUAACAGUUCUAAUAUGGGGUUGGCUAUAAAAUAUGUCAAAAGCCCCCUCUAAAUGCCAAUCACUGGCUUUCAAAGCCUGAACAGCAGCUUUCUCACUGUGAAAAUUAUAGAAUCAUGUUUAUGGAUGAUUAAAAUAUGCAUAAAAGUAAAAGAAAUGCAAAUCAUGAAAUGUGAAACUUUAAAUAAAAAGAAAGUCAUAAUUAAUCUUGACCGUUGGCAUACUUAGACCAUUAACAUACAUAGACUAUUGUCUACAUCAGAAGCACAAAAGUUAAAAUAACCAAAGAUUCAAAUCUCGAUCCAAUACCAGUCUCGAUAAACCAAUUGGACUGUUGUGAUACCAGUAUACAAGGUGGUAAAGUUGAUGGUGAUAAUCAGUUCUUAAUGUCUGAGUUAUGUUGCUAAAAGUUGGAAAAAGCAUUUAUUUAAACCUAAUGCUAGUAUGAAGACAGAGAUAAAUGAAAAUUGAUACAUGAACAAAUGUAUUAAACCUUAAACUAAAAGCACUUCCCAUCAAAGUAAGACAGGAGGCUAAGGAUCCUAUGAAAAGAAAAGAGCAUGGCUUGAGUGAAUGCAAAUAUAAGCGAUUAGACCCAUGCCGGUCCAGCCAUGGACCAGCAUGGGUCCAAUACCAAAAAUUGGAUUCCUUGUCAAAGACAAAAGUUGUUUAGGUAAACAAGGAGAAACGGUGAUUGUAUUUCCAUAGCAAACGAUAAAAAUAAGCAAUUUAAAACAGAUACUCUUCCUGAAGCAGUCAAGCAGAACACCUUUUUUGUUGAUUGGAUGACAUCAUUAAGGACCAUCACAAGAAAUGUGUAGAACUGAUGUCAUUACUAUCACCACAAGCAAUGUGUAGAACUGAUAUGUCAUUACUAUCACCACAAGCAAUGUGUACAACUGAUAUGUCAUUGCUAUCACGAAUAUUUUGCAUCUCAUUGAAAAAUACUGAUAUUGUAGCUACCAAGUCAUCUGAAUUCUAAACUGUUAUCCACUAAUUACUAUGGCAGCCUUAUCCCAGAUACUGAAAGGCUUUUUCUAUGAUACAUAUCCAUGGUAGCCCUUGUACAGAACUUGGAGAAAAUGUUUCAUGUUUUAGUAAGUGGUAUACCUCGAUCCCGUUAUUGCCAUGAACUGCUGAACUUUGUCUCGAUGUCCUCUUCCCAAUUUAUGCUGUUAAAGAUCAAAAUUAACAUACUUAACUUGAUAACCAUUAAGAACUAAUCCGAAUGUAAUACAGAAUCAUUUGAAAAUUUCACAGACAAGAAAGGCAACGACACAAUAUAAAUCUUCAGGCCUUUUGGAGGUGACAAACUAGCAACGUCAAAUUCCAUGAUCCACCAAAGUUAUGGAAUCUAUAUCCAGAAGGCAAAAGGAGCAAUAUACAGAUAAGUAUAUGAUUUCUGUAACCCUCUUUUCUGAUUUCAUGAAAUCGUUUUACCUUUUUUCAACUAUAUAGAAACCUAUAGACAUAAAUUUAUUGAAAAUGUUAAUACUUCACUUUCCCUUCUUUAAGGCUAAUGAAUCGUCUCGAUGAAAAUCUCACACACUUUCUCUACCUAAACUGUCCUAAUUAUUUAAUAAUAUAAGCUCCAAUUAUCAGCCAAAAUUAAAAUUUUCGAACAUGUCGCCAAAAAUAUAUCUUGAUCAUUACUGCUUUAAGAAAUAAAAAGGCAGAGACAAAAGGAGGAGGAAAACCAGUCCUGAGCUUAAAGAAAAAGGAAAAAAAAGCAGGAUUAGUAAUCGAAAGCCAUAACUAAGAAUCGAAUUCCACACCGAUGAAUGAAACGACAUGAGCACUAACCAUUUUUAUAUCACCGAGCAAACCCUAAUUCGUCUCUCGUUUUUCCUUAUUGAGAAGGGAUCGACGGAAAGGGCGAUUUCGAAGAGAGGAAAAUUAGGAUUUUGGUAGCCUCUUUUUCAGAUUUCUUUCUCUUCUCCUCUCUCGUCGUCGCCUUUUCUUUCCCCCUUCCCUUCUCCUUUCACCUUUUCGCAC
rnacentral:lncRNA from 1 species